UGGUAUCAUUUAUCCUAGCUUUCUGGGUAAUAGCUUGGUGAAGGAAGACUGCAGGUCUUUUCUGUGCUCUUGACACCAUUAAAAGGCCUGCAACUAUCGGUCCUUCAUAAAGUUUUUUGUUUUUCUGCCCCCUUAGCAUCUAUUUGGAUCCGAGAAUUAUUUUGAUUGUUUCAGGAUUAGGUUUGAGAUGAAAAGGUCGAAGCUCAUGGGUUAGUACUUGG
rnacentral:lncRNA from 1 species